rnacentral:rRNA from 1 species
CCAGACUCCUACGGGAGGCAGCAGUAGGGAAUCUUCGGCAAUGGACGAAGGUCUGACCGAGCAACGCCGCGUGAGUGAAGAAGGUUUUCGGAUCGUAAAACUCUGUUGGUAGAGAAGAACGUUGGUGAGAGUGGAAAGCUCAUCAAGUGACGGUAACUACCCAGAAAGGGACGGCUAACUACGUGCCAGCAGCCGCGGUAAUACGUAGGUCCCGAGCGUUGUCCGGAUUUAUUGGGCGUAAAGCGAGCGCAGGUGGUUUAUUAAGUCUGGUGUAAAAGGCAGUGGCUCAACCAUUGUAUGCAUUGGAAACUGGUAGACUUGGGUGCAGGAGAGGAGAGUGGAAUUCCAUGUGUAGCGGUGAAAUGCGUAGAUAUAUGGAGGAACACCGGUGGCGAAAGCGGCUCUCUGGCCUGUAACUGACACUGAGGCUCGAAAGCGUGGGGAGCAAACAGGAUUAGAUACCCUGGUAGUCCACGCCGUAAACGAUGAGUGCUAGAUGUAGGGAGCUAUAAGUUCUCUGUAUCGCAGCUAACGCAAUAAGCACUCCGCCUGGGGAGUACGACCGCAAGGUUGAAACUCAAAGGAAUUGACGGGGGCCCGCACAAG